rnacentral:rRNA from 2 species
UACGUAGGUGACAAGCGUUGUCCGGAAUUAUUGGGCGUAAAGGGAGCGCAGGCGGUUGGAAUAGUCUGAUGUGAAAGCCCACGGCUUAACCGUGGAAGGUCAUUGGAAACUGUCCAACUUGAAUGCAGAAGAGGUAAGUGGAAUUCCAUGUGUAGCGGUGAAAUGCGUAGAUAUAUGGAGGAACACCAGUGGCGAAGGCGACUUACUGGUCUGUGAUUGACGCUGAGGCUCGAAAGCGUGGGUAGCGAACAGG